CUGCUGACUGUGAGGUACAGGGUCAAAGUUUACUCAAUGAUGACGAAUAGGGGGCGGAUCGAACCGCGCAUAUGUUCCCCCGCCGUGGCGAACGCGAACGCGCCAGCGAACCGUUCGGUGCAUCACUAUUGACCGGUCUGCCAUGAGGUUGAAGCACAAAAUAGUUCCAGGGAAAGUGUGGCAAUGACCGGUCUCCGUUCGUGGGGUUUUGUACUAAAAACCACAUAAGGUACACGAAAGAUUUCACUGGGAUAAUGCUU